CAGAUAUUAGUUUAUAAUAAAAUAUUAAUUUUGGAGAUUAAAGAUAAUUUUUUUAUAUCUGA
rnacentral:tRNA from 1 species